UACAUGGGGUGCAAACGUUGCUCGGAAUUAUUGGGCGUAAAGCGCGCGUAGGCGGUUAUCUAAGUCGGAUGUGAAAGCCCUCGGCUUAACUGAGGAAGUGCACCCGAAACUGGAUAGCUAGAGUACGAAAGAGGGUCGCGGAAUUCCCGGUGUAGAGGUGAAAUUCGUAGAUAUUCGCAAGAACACCAGUGGCGAAGGCGGCUCACUGGCCCGGUACUGACGCUGAGGUGCGAAAGCGUGGGGAGCAAACAGG
rnacentral:rRNA from 1 species